GAGUUGGGGGAGAGGACCAGAACCACCUGCUGGAGAAGGGGAGCUACGGGGGCCGGGCAGGGUCCAAACGCCUCACGUAGGCGGCGGCGCCACGGUCUUCGGGGUCACAGGGAAGAGAAGGGCUCUCCUCAAGCGGGUGGAAGGAGGGAGGCCUCCCGAGGGAGUGAGACUCUAGGCCACUCCCCCGCAGCAAGGCAGGAUCACCUGCGACGCGGAGAGCGGUUAGAGGGCCCUGGAGUGGAAAAGGGCAGUGGGACCUGGUAGCUUGGGUUCCCUGCAACUUGGGGUUCGACCUCCAGGCAAUGAAGUAGGGAUGGUCCUGCAAGUCAAGAUUCCAGUAGCAAGAGUGCAUCAGAUCUCUGUAAGGAAAAUAACUAACAUUGCUCAGUUCCCUGUAGAGUUGCAGGGCGCUUUAACGUUAUCUCCCUUGGUUCUCCAUCAGGUCGUAGUGGACUAAUUUUACAGGCGAAGUUAAGUGACUUACCCAAAACCUCACAGCUAAUAAACGGCAGAGCCGGCACCCAGCUGUACUGGCUUCCAAUUCUGUUAGCUUACCAGCGCAUCACAUUAUCUCCAUAAAUCCCCAUGAUUCAACUAAUAUUAGACGCCCCACAGAGUCUCGCUACUCAAAACGUGGUCAGUGGCCCAGCAGCACUGACAUGAGGAUGUUAGUUAGAAACUCAGAAUCUCAGGCUCCACCCCAGACCUGCUGAACCAGCAUCUUCAACUUAACAAGAACCCGAAGAGAUUUGUGUCACAUCAAAAAGUUUGAGAAGCUCUGAUCUAGGGCUGGAAGGAGUGUUGCUCAACAAUAUCCAAAACCACAGAGGUUGAAAAGCACAAGGAAAGAAGGUAUGUUUGCACUUUGUGAUUAGGUAGUAGGGUCUUUGAGACCACAUUGUUCUUAUUGAAAGCCUGGGAAGAAAGAUCCCCUUUCUGGUCAAGUUUAGUCUAGGGAUCCAUCCCAUCUUCCCCAGUUCCCACGUGUAUGGGACAUGUCGAGAUAAGUAGAUAGAUUGGACAGUGGGAGAAAGUAGUUCUCUUCCAGUUGCUUCUAUUUUCUCAGCAAAGUGAGGAGCAAGAUCAUUUUGGCAGACUGCUAAUUGUCCAUCACAAUUUAGUCUCCCUUUCUCCCUGAAAACACAGACUGCUUUUCUCAGCCUCUCUUUCAGUUGCAUAUGGUCAAGUAUUAAGUUAUAGAACGUGAGCAGAUGUUAUGUCUGCCACUGUCAGGCCAAGGCGUUUACUUUGAGAGUACUUGUGCCUCUUUCAUGCAUUUUCCUUUCUGCCAGCUGGACCCUGGACACGGUGACUCUGAUUCAAUUAUGCAGAUGACCACAAACCUCUGGGGUUGGCAGAGCCACAAGAAAGAAGGUGCCUGGAUGAAGGAGAGCUACCCACUGACCUGGACACCCAAUUAUUCAUCUGUCUUAGAGCUAUUGGAAUCCUGGAUCAUUGUGGGAAAUGAAAGGAACUGGUUUUUAGCAAGGAGACCAAGAAACUCUACUCCCUAGGGGCUAGCAAUGAGAGAAAGGAAGCCUUAAGUCUUUGAGCACAGGGUGACAGUUUGGGUCCUAUGUGAGAUGAUCAAAUCCACAGCAACAGAGGAAAGGACAAAAGGAAAAGGUCUGUAGCAGCACUACAUCAGAAAAAAAUGGAUUCAGCAAGGAAGUGGGUGACUCUGAGUAAGCAUCCAUGUCAGGAUGGUUUUGCUACAGCCCCCAACAAAACAUUAAUUAGUUUAAGAAACUCAACUUCGGUUUACAAGUGUUUUGGAAAAGUAACAAAGAACAACAUAAGUAACAAAAUAAUUCCUCAGGUCAUUACAAUGGAUGUUUCCUAUAACUGAAAAAUAUGGUUAAAAAGUACAAACUACAUUUGGUGUGCAAACUGUUUAGUUCUUAAUUCCAAACUAAAUUGUACAUUAUAUAGUAAAAUUUUGACCAGAAAAACUUGGAGAUUUUAGUAAAAAUUUCAUUGACAUAUUUACAGCCCCAGUGUAGUUUGGCCGGUGUGCAAAGCCUGACUAAGGAGGUUAUAGAAAAAAAUAUCAGACUUAAGCCCAUCAAAUCAUUAAAGAUGCUUUGGCAAGACUUCAAGCUUUACAGACAUACUCCAUGUGACCAGAGAUGUCAUAACCAGUGUUCUUUCUCUUGAAAUGUUAGAAUGCUUUAGUUUUAUUCUAUAAUUUCCGUGUUCCAUGGAACAGCAUUCAUUUCUCCCAGUUUUAGUAACAUAAUGAGAGAUAUAUUGAGUGUAUAGAGCAGGAAAGACAUGAAAACUUAUAUUGCAUAAUAUUAGCAAACAUAAAAGAUAGCAUUAUAAAUUUUUAAAAAUCCAAAAAAAUUCCAGAAACAGAACAGUGAGCAUGUUUAAAAAGUCAGGACUGACCGUUUCUGUGAGUUCUGAGGACUGUAAAUGAGCCUCAAUCCAUAAAGCUGAGAGGUUGUCUUAGCCCACAUAUGCAGCAGGUGACUCCCUCUGACAAAAGCAAGAUUUAGCUGGAUCUUUUAAAAAAAAAA
rnacentral:lncRNA from 1 species